rnacentral:lncRNA from 1 species
UCCAGAUGAAGUAACGAACUCCUCUGGUCUCCUGCAUGCUGGGUGCAGGACAAUUCUGUAAAGAAAUGCCAGUGCAUGUCGGCGUCUUCAGGGUGGUGACCACACAGUGACUGUGACCUUAGAUGAAGGAGGAUGCCUCGGAGCAAGUGACCGUGGUGGCACCUGCCCACCCACCUUGUGUGGGGCUGCCUUUCUGCUGGACACACUUGAUCCAUGCUGUACCGGGAAGGCAGCCAUUGUGGAGACUCAGUCACUCACUCAGCAAAGGUUUGUGGGACCGCGUAUGACCAUGGAAGACGCAUCACACCAUCCUGUCGUCCUGAGCAAAUUCGUGCCUAACAGAGAAAACACUGAAACCUUCGCGAAUGUUUGCUUGGCUUUUUAUUAUUUAGUGUAUUUAUAUUGGACUUUUCCAGGAGAUCUGUGGUUGAAAUUGCUUGGCACCCAA